GGACCACUCAAGAAGACGCCGCCGAAGAAAAAGUGACGCCAAACGUCAGACAGUGAGGCUAAAUAGCCGACGUUUCGUAGAAGGAUGAAGUGUUCAACCUGUGAGCAGCACACCAGAGCACCCAGUGACUUCUUCCUCUUUCCUCGGAUGAAGGAACCACUGCGUGGCAGGAAUUUUCAGAAUGACGACGAGGUGAUUUUCGAGGUGGACCUUUACCUGAACAGCCAAAAUGCAGAUUUGUACAACCAAGGUCUCCGCCAAGUCAUCCAUCGUUCGGAAAAAUGUGUCGCAUUGAAGGGUGAAUAUGUAGAUAAGGAUUAACACCAUUACCAAG